UACGGAGGGGGCUAGCGUUGUUCGGAAUUACUGGGCGUAAAGAGCUUGUAGGUGGCUCGUUGCGUCGGGAGUGAAAACCUGCGGCUUAACCGCAGGCCUGCUUCCGAUACGGGCGAGCUAGAGUUCGGCAGGGGAGACUGGAAUUCCUGGUGUAGCGGUGGAAUGCGCAGAUAUCAGGAGGAACACCGGUGGCGAAGGCGGGUCUCUGGGCCGAUACUGACACUGAGAAGCGAAAGCGUGGGGAGCGAACAGG
rnacentral:rRNA from 1 species